AAUAGGGUUUCCAUGAGUGCACAUAGACACAGUUUUAUAUUUUUUCUCAUACCCUGUGGAUGGCUUGACUACCCUCUAGCAUGUGCAUACCCAUCUUUGAAGACUAUAGCUCUAUGCCAGUAGGGAUAUCUUUCUAAAAUGAAACUGUAUACUUAAAAUCCUUCUAUAGAUCUCAAUGAAUAGUAGAUAAAAUCUGAAUUCUUAAAUGCAAAAGAUGAUGCUAUUCAUGAAUUGUUAACUUCUUUUCAAAUUUAAAACAAAAUAAUACCAGUAAAAGCUCUUAUUAAACAAUUUAUACUUGUCAACAUAUUAAAUGAUUUGAAUCUGUCAAAAUAGAUAUAUUAAUACAUAGCUCCUUGGACAGUCACAGAUUUAGUUGUGUUGUAGGUUUGACUGGGUCAAAAUAAGAGCCAAGCUAUGUGGCAUGAAAUAUCUAUUGACUGUCACAAAAAUGUUAAUAAAUGAAGAUUAUUAAAUUUUGUAGGGUAUUAGAGGAUAAAAUGCAUAUGUCAGAUUCUAUAACAUAACUGUAUACAUAACACAUUUUUGUAUAUCAUAUACAUAAACGUCUAUCAGUUUGGGAAAUUAUUGAAUGAACAAGAAAUAAAACCACAUGUUGGUAUUAGCAUCAGAAUUUUCAUUGACUCUACAGUUUUUUGUCAAUAUUAUGGCAGUUUCUAAAGUAUAUCAGAAUGAAGGAAAUGCUUUAAAAAGCAGGCAACCGCUGAUUACUUUGGCUUUUAUUUUAAAACAAAGCUCUACAUUUGUUUUUUUGUUUUUAUUGAAGCGUGGUUGAUUUGCAGUGUUUCAGAUGUACAGCAGAGUUGAUUCAUUUACAUGUAUGUCCUUUUUCAGAUUCUUUUCUGUUUUAGGUUAUUCUGAAAUAUUAAAUACAGUUCCCUUGCUUUAGUAGGUCCUUGUCUGUUUUAUUAUAGUAGUGUGUAUCUGUUGAUACCCAGUUCCUAAUUAACCUCCCACCUUUCCACUUUGGCAACCGUAAGUUUGUUUUCUAUGUCUGUGAGUCUAUUUCUGUUUUGUAAAUACGUUCAUUUGUAUAUAUAAAUUUUUUUACAGUUCCACAUAGAAGUGAUAUCAUAUGAUAUUUGUCUUUUAACUUGGUGGAAAAAGAGGAGAUAUUUCCUGUAUAUAUAUUGAGAUGAGAUGAGCUAAAGAAAAAUAGCAGAGCUGAAUGUUAGGUUAUCCUACUAACCUUUGUCAGGCCCUUCUGCCUUGAUAUGGUUCAAAUUUCUGCCAUAUAUUUUGAUACUCUCUGUCUCCAUAGCAGUUGCCUGGGAGUGUGUUGCCAGAAAGGACACUGAAAAUGCAGUCAAUUUAUAAAUAGAUCCUCCUAUUUUAUAGAUGUCAUUAAGAGGUUUUAUGAGGUAUUAUGAGAGAUUGAACAUAUAGUGAAAUAGUUUAUUUGCUCAGAAAAAUAUUAAUAGUUAUNNNNNNNNNNNNNNNNNNNNNNNNNNNNNNNNNNNNNNNNNNNNNNNNNNNNNNNNNNNNNNNNNNNNNNNNNNNNNNNNNNNNNNNNNNNNNNNNNNNAUAUAGUGAAAUAGUUUAUUUGCUCAGAAAAAUAUUAAUAGUUAUAAACAUCAAAAUAUAACCAAGCAAACAUCAGACAUUAUUAUUCGAUAUUUCUUUCAUAUGGCAAAGAAAAGAUUUAAAACUGAUUUUCUGUUUGAAAAAUGUCAGUGGAAAUAAACAAAUGGGUAAUUUCUAACUCUUAUUUUCUAUGUAAUGGAUGAAGAAAUAAAUUACUUAUUUUAGAAAUAUUGUUCUGUGAUAUUGACAAAUAUCACAGUUUAAUAUGAAGCACUGACUCAUAAUAAAUACUUUCUUUGAACUUGGUAUGUAUUAAACUAGGGUUAACAUUUUUGCACUUAAAAUUUCAUCACUGAUGAAUCCUAGAUGUCUAUUUGUGCAUACAUUACCUUAUUCAUAAAAGGGUUUGUGUAGAAUCAGAAAUGUUUUAAAUAUACAAUCUGUCUUGAAAACAAGACAAUCAAUGAUAAAUAGCAGGAAAAAAAGUUAUCUUUCUAGAAUCUGGGAAUCUCUCCCUCCCUUCUCUACCUGUUUUCCAUGGUUUGACAUAUUAACUAUUAUAAAAUUAAAAUAUUAAACAGUGAGUAUCUAACAGUUUAAAUUCUUUUCAUUGAGGGUGAUUUGCCUGAUUUCUUAGAUGUAAUUAAAGGGAGAGAGUAAAUGUGGUUUUUUAAAGAGUGCUUUUCUUUCUUUUGAGUUUAUAAAAUUGUUUUAGGAAUAGCAAACUUAGUACAUUGGUGGUGUUCAGUUCUCAUAAUUUUCUUUCAGACCUUUUUAAAAGGUAAACUCUAUGAGUAAUGUGAUCAUAUGCACGGGAAACUGAAAUUAAAGCACUCAAACUGUUGUGACAAAUAACAGAUAUUCAGGGUCAGGGCAAAUAAGGCUACGGAUAAUCACUCCAU
rnacentral:lncRNA from 1 species